UACGGAGGGGGCUAGCGUUGUUCGGAAUUACUGGGCGUAAAGCGCGCGUAGGCGGACCUGCAAGUCUGAUGUGAAAGCCCGGGGCUCACCCCCGGAAGUGCAUUGGAAACUGGUGGACUCGAGUCCCGGAGAGGAGAGUGGAAUUCCUGGUGUAGCGGUGAAAUGCGUAGAUAUCAGGAGGAACACCGGUGGCGAAGGCGGCUCUCUGGACGGUGACUGACGCUGAGACGCGAAAGCGUGGGGAGCAAACAGG
rnacentral:rRNA from 1 species